GACGAACGCUGGCGGCGUGCCUAACACAUGCAAGUCGAGCGGGAACCUCAGGACGGGUAACCCUUCUGAGGGGAGAGCGGCGAACGGGUGAGUAACACGUGGGCAACCUGCCCCGGACACCGGGAUAACCCAGGGAAACCUGAGCUAAUACCGGAUACUCCGGCGCGAUCGCAUGGUCGUGCCGGGAAAGCUCCGACGGU
rnacentral:rRNA from 1 species